AGAGUUUGAUCCUGGCUCAGAACGAACGCUGGCGGCGUGCUUAACGCAUGCAAGUCGAACGGGACCUUCGGGUCUAGUGGCGGACGGGUGAGUAAUACAUAGGAAAUCUGCCUUUAAGUGGGGGACAACCAGCCGAAAGGUUGGCUAAUACCGCGUAAUGUAGUUAGUUGAAAUACUAAUUAAGAAAGAUUUAUCGCUUUUAGAGGAGCCUAUGCUUGAUUAGCUAGUUGGUGGGGUAAAAGCCUACCAAGGCGACGAUCAAUAGCUGGUCUGAGAGGACGAUCAGCCACACUGGGACUGAGACACGGCCCAGACUUCUACGGAAGGCAGCAGUGGGGAAUUUUCCGCAAUGGGCGCAAGCCUGACGGAGCGACGCCGCGUGGAGGAUGAAGUAUCUAGGUAUGUAAACUUCUGUAAGUGGGGACGAACACAAUGACGGUACCCACAAAGUAAGCAUCGGCUAACUACGUGCCAGCAGCCGCGGUAAUACGUAGGAUGCAAGCGUUGUUCGGAAUUACUGGGCGUAAAGAGUACGUAGGCGGUAUGGUAAGUCUGCUAUUAAAGACUGGAGCUUAACUUCAGGAAUGUAGUGGAAACUGCCAAACUAGAGGACAAUAGAGGAAGUGGGAAUUCUCAGUGUAGCGGUGAAAUGCGUAGAUAUUGGGAAGAACACCAGUGGCGAAAGCGCACUUCUGGGUUGUUACUGACGCUGAGGUACGAAAGCGUGGGGAGCAAACGGGAUUAGAUACCCCGGUAGUCCACGCUGUAAACGAUGGAUACUAGGUGUAGCCGGUCUCGACCCCGGCUGUGCCGCAGCUAACGCAUUAAGUAUCCCGCCUGGGGAGUAUGGCCGCAAGGUUGAAACUCAAAGGAAUUGACGGGGGCCCGCACAAGCGGUGGAGGAUGUGGUUUAAUUCGACGCAACGCGAAGAACCUUACCAAGGCUUGACAUCUACAGAAUCUGCUGGAAACAGUGGAGUGUUCGAAAGAAAACUGUAAGACAGGUGGUGCAUGGCUGUCGUCAGCUCGUGUCGUGAGAUGUUGGGUUAAGUCCCGCAACGAGCGCAACCCUCGAUGCUAGUUACCAUCAUUUAGUUGGGGACUCUAGCGUGACUGCCGGUGAUAAGCCGGAGGAAGGUGAGGACGACGUCAAGUCAUCAUGCCCCUUACGUCUUGGGCUACACACGUCCUACAAUGGCAUAGACAAAGGGCUGCAAGCUAGCAAUAGUGAGCGAAUCCCAUAAACUAUGUCUCAGUUCGGAUUGCAGGCUGCAACUCGCCUGCAUGAAGUUGGAAUCGCUAGUAACCGUAGAUCAGCACGCUACGGUGAAUACGUUCCCGGGCCCUGUACACACCGCCCGUCACACCACGAAAGUUUGUCAUACCCGAAACCGGUGAGCUAACCUUUUAGGAGGCAGCCGUCUAAGGUAGGGCCGAUGAUUGGGGUGAAGUCGUAACAAGGUA
rnacentral:rRNA from 1 species